rnacentral:rRNA from 1 species
UGCCAGCCGCCGCGGUAACACGGGGGGCGCAAGCGUUAUUCGGAAUUACUGGGCAUAAAGAGCGCGUAGGUGGCGUGGUCAGCGAGGAAUGAAAUCCCAUGGCUCACCCAUGGAACUGUUUCUCGAACUGCCAUGCUUGAGGACAAGAGGGGAGAGUGGAAUUCCUGGUGUAGCGGUGAAAUGCGUAGAUAUCAGGAGGAACGCCGGUGGCGAAAGCGACUCUCUGGAUUGUUCCUGACACUGAGGCGCGAAAGCUAGGGGAGCAAACAGGAUUAGAUA